rnacentral:miRNA from 1 species
UGAGGCAGGAGAAUUGCUUGAACCCAGGAGGUGGAGGUUGCAGUGAGCCAAGAUCAUGCCACUGCACUCCAGCCUGGGCGACACAGCGAGACUCCGUCUC